rnacentral:rRNA from 1 species
GGCGUGGCUUCCGGAGCUAACGCGUUAAAUCGACCGCCUGGGGAGUACGGCCGCAAGGUUAAAACUCAAAUGAAUUGACGGGGGCCCGCACAAGCGGUGGAGCAUGUGGUUUAAUUCGAUGCAACGCGAAGAACCUUACCUGGUCUUGACAUCCACAGAACUUUCCAGAGAUGGAUUGGUGCCUUCGGGAACUGUGAGACAGGUGCUGCAUGGCUGUCGUCAGCUCGUGUUGUGAAAUGUUGGGUUAAGUCCCGCAACGAGCGCAACCCUUAUCCUUUGUUGCCAGCGGUUCGGCCGGGAACUCAAAGGAGACUGCCAGUGAUAAACUGGAGGAAGGUGGGGAUGACGUCAAGUCAUCAUGGCCCUUACGACCAGGGCUACACACGUGCUACAAUGGCAUAUACAAAGAGAAGCGACCUCGCGAGAGCAAGCGGACCUCAUAAAGUAUGUCGU